UAGUAUUCAAGCCAGGAAAUCAAAACGUAGUAGCAGAUGCAUUAUCAAGACAAAAAAUUAACACUUCAACAAUAGAAUCGAUACACUCGACACGUAGUUCACCAAACGAAAACUAUACAUACGCAAAACAAACGAUAAAUUCAUUUAAGAAUCAAAUCGUAUUAAAGAAACCUAAACGAAAUAAAAAAGAAACACAAAUGAUUUUUCCAAAGUCUCACAGACAUAAUAUUGAAUAUCAAAACACUGACUAUCUAACAAAAACCUUAAAAGAAAUUUUUACACUUAAUUUCAAUAACGCGAUUAAAAUUGAAGAACAAGAACUAUUCACAAUAAAAUCACUACUAAGUAAACAUUUUCUAAACUACAAGCUCUUUAUAGCACAAAAUCUAGUCGAAGACAUAACAGGCAAAAACAAGCAAUUGGAAACUAUAACAAAUACACAUAACCGAGCGCAUAGAAAUGAGAAAAAUAACGCGAUGGAAAUUAGACAACAAUAUUUUUGGCCCGAUAUGGCGAAACAAAUCAAAAACUUUGCACGAAACUGCUCAAAUUGUUAUGAACUAAAAUACGAACGUAGACCAACAAAACAACUGAUAGGGAGAACACCAGCAACAUAUCUACCAGGAGAAUCUAUAAGUAUGGAUAUACGAGGUGUGUUCAAAAAGUAAGGCGAAUUUUGUGUUUUUUCAAAAAUUAUUUAUUUAUUCAUGAAUAUCUAUUUUGUCACCUUCAAAGUAAUCCCCAUGAGAUAUUAUACACUUGUGCCAACGGUUUUUCCAAUCUUCGAAGCACUUCAAAAAAUCAUUUUUUUUAUCUUCUUCAGCUCUUCCUUCGAUGCCGUCUUCAGUUUAGGGAACAAGAAAAAAUCACAGGGGGCCAGAACUGGGGAAUGCGGUGGCUGCGGCAUCAUUAGUGUGUUGCGCACAAGCAACGAUGUUUGUGAGAAGGGGCGUUAUCGUGGUGCAAAAGCCAAUUUUUGUUCUUCCACAAAUCCGGGCAUUUCUGGCGGAUUGCUUCGCGAAAAUUGCGCAUAACUUGCAGGUAAUAUUCCUUAUUGACCGUUCUUCUCUGUGGCAAGAACUCAUGAUGCACCACGCCCCAGCAAUCGAAGAAAACUGUCAGUUACGAUUCGCGAUACUUUUUGAACACACUUCGUAUUCCACAUAGGGAAUAGAACAUAUAUAACUAGUAUGUGUAGGUACUCAAAGUAUUUAUUAACGAGAGAAAUAGCAGAUAAAGUCAACACCUUAGACAAACUAGAAGAAAUUCUCACACUUACAUACCCAUAUUGUAGAAACCUACAAACCGACAAUGAGAGUAUAUUCACAUCGAUAACUUGUAUGUCACUAUACCGACGACUACAUAUAACACAUAAUCGUACGCCAACAGCUCAUUCGACAUCAAACGGUUCAGUUGAACGCUUACUUACGAGUAUAAUAGGACAAUACCAAGGUAGAGGAGGAGUAAGGUCACUAUCAGCUGAUGUUAUGUAAACAAAGGCACAGCUGAGAGGUGCCACUGUAGAAACGCCAAGUGUAGUCCGGGGUUGAGUUUCUAUUUGAAUCCAAGAUGGCCGACUUUUAACCGGAAAAUGGUUGCAUUGUGUUAUUUUCUUAAAAUUUAUGGAAAAGUUGUCCCAAAAAUAUUGGUUAUAUGUAAAAGUUUAAUAUAUUUUCAAAAGAAAAUCGUUUUAUUUUAAUAUAUAUUCUUAAAGAUGAGAACAAUAUGAGCAAAUACAUGAAAAAUUAAGUUUUUUAUUUAUGCCUCUUUUUAACUGUGGUAAGUCAAUAAAUGUUCACCACAGAAAAAUGUUACGAACAAAUAAGCAACCAUGCCGAAUAGUGUGGUCUAGAUUAUGCUCAUUCACAGCCAUAUUUACAUUUUUGCCAUCGUAACGAAGGUUUUUGCAAAGACAAUUUGUUUUAGUUUAUUUCAUGGUUAAAUCCUUUGCGAUGGUUUAUUUAGUUAUUUGAAUCUAUAAAAAGUGUUUACAAUUUUCAUGGGACGAUAAACAACAGAUCGGCUGCGAUUUUAUUCCAAUAAAAGUACGAAAUAACCAAACAUGGCCACGUUAAAAUUGCUGCGUAAUGGGUCUGGUGCUGUUACAAUUUUAUGAUUUAAGAGAUGAAAAAGCGAUACGCGAUGCUGUGAAGUACUCAAAUGUAGUUAUCAAAUUAGUUGGUCGUGAAUUCGAGACAAAAUUUUAAAUUCAAUGGCGUUCUCGUGUAAGAUGCUCAUCGCAUUGCUAGAAUCAGCAAAGGAGCUGAUGUAGAACGCUAGUCCCAAACCAAUGAGCUUUGUGCAUGAGGGUGGAAGCAACUUUUUGAAGAGCAAAUACUACGGUGAGCACAUUCGGAUGUUGAAUAACCUAUUGUAAAUUGCGCUUAGAAUCCCGGUACUGCUGGUCAGGUUUAUCAGGCUGUUGGACCAAAGCGUUACCAGUUGAGCGAAUUAAUUGACUGGUUUCAUCGUGUUAUGCGUAAAGAUGAAAAAUAGUGGGGAUACCGUCAUUAAGACAUGUGUUGUGAUCCUACCUUCUUAUUGAAAGCCAAGUUCACGAAUAUAUUACCGAUGUCGUUCCCUCCAACAUACCGUGGUUGUAGAAUUUUGGUGUACAAUCCAUGGAAGAGCAAGUACCAUGAGAAUUAUGACCAUAUCGUGCUGCGCAAUAUCAUGAUGCCGAAUUGGGGAGUGGGGUGAACCAGCUCCACCAAAACCGAUAGAACAUCGGGAUGAACUACGCAAAUAAUAAACAACACUCAUCAAAUGAAAGUUGGCAGCGUUGGUGACUAAGCAGCGAUUUGAAAAAGAAACACUUGCAUCUACGCGAAUUACAAUUCGUCUUUACAUCUAGUGAAUUAUGGUCGAUUAUGAAUGGUGUGGAAGUUGAUAUUUAAACUUUAAAAAACAAAUAAAUGUAAUUUGGCUAAUAUUGAUAUUUAAACUUUAAAAAACAAAUAAAUGUAAUUUGGCUAAUAAUGAGCCGCUAUUAAAAGUUAAGGAA